AAUCUUUUCAUCUACUCCUCUUCUGCACCCGCCUUCUCUUCCUCUUCUUCAUCCAGCAGUGCCAUUUCUCUUCGGCAGCAAGAAUGGUGUGUAAAGUGAUGACGGCGCAGUUUCUUCUGGCACAGGAGUAGCACAGCACAACCUCAGCAGUAGUUGGAGCAACCCAGCAGCAGCAUAUUUUCGAUACUCAUCGAGCACUUGCC
ensembl:ncRNA C02C6.6 ncRNA